rnacentral:rRNA from 1 species
UGGGGAAUAUUGCACAAUGGGGGAAACCCUGAUGCAGCAACGCCGCGUGAAGGAAGACGGUUUUCGGAUUGUAAACUUCUGUUCUUAGUGAAGAAUAAUGACGGUAGCUAAGGAGCAAGCCACGGCUAACUACGUGCCAGCAGCCGCGGUAAUACGUAGGUGGCAAGCGUUGUCCGGAAUUACUGGGUGUAAAGGGAGCGCAGGCGGGAGACCAAGUCAGCUGUGAAAACUACGGGCUUAACCUGUAGACUGCAGUUGAAACUGGUUUUCUUGAGUGAAGUAGAGGUUGGCGGAAUUCCGAGCGUAGCGGUGAAAUGCGUAGAUAUUCGGAGGAACACCGGUGGCGAAGGCGGCCAACUGGGCUUUAACUGACGCUGAGGCUCGAAAGUGUGGGGAGCAAACAGGAUUAGAUACCC